rnacentral:rRNA from 1 species
UCGAGAAUAAUUCGCAAUGGACGAAAGUCUGACGAUGCGACGCCGCGUGAACGAUGAAGGCCUUCGGGUUGUAGCGUUCUGUUGUCCUGGAACAAGAGUCGCUGACGGUACCUGACGAAUAAGCCACGGCAAACCCCGUGCCAGCAGCCGCGGUAAUACGGGGGUGGCAAGCGUUACUCGGAAUUAUUGGGUGUAAAGGGCAGGUAGGUGGCUCUAUAAGUGAGGGGUGAAAUCCUGCGGUUUAAUCGCAGAACAGCCUUUCAAACUGUAGAGCUUGAGUGUGACAGAGGAAGAUGGAAUUCCUGGUGUAAGGGUGAAAUCUGUAGAUAUCAGGAAGAACACCAACGGCGAAGGCAAUCUUCUGGGUCACUACUGACACUGAGCUGCGAAAGCUAGGGGAGCAAACA